GUGUGUCCGUGCGAGCUGGCAGCGGUAAGUGGAGGCUGGGCGACUCCGACUGCCUGACGCCAGCGCGACCAGAUCAAUCCCGGCGCGGAGGCAGGGCGGGCGCGGGGCUCGCCCCCUCUCAGCGCCCGGCGGCCGUACCACAGCCGGUAACAGCUUCGCGGCCCCUCGUCUCUCCCCGUGGCGGGCGGCUGCGCCCUUCUCCUCCUUCUCCUCCUCCUCCUCCUCCCCGCUGCACCGGGCCAGGCGAGGGUCCCCGGCGCGUCCGGGAGAAGCGGCUCCGUGCCCUCUCCCUGCCGGCAUGAUGGCGUCCCGCCUCGCCGCCGGCCCCCGCUUCCCGGGAGGGAAGAAGGAAGUGGAAGAGGCAGAGAGACGAAUCGGGUCGCAUUACUGAGGUCUCACCACGAAUCUGCAAAAUGCAGGACCAGAGUUUGGUUUCCCUUCUUUCAUGCGGUGCCUUGGUUGUUCAUCAGAUGCUUCUGCCUUUCCAUCAUUGAGUCUGGAAGAUGGAUAAAAUGGAAAUUGGUUGUGACUUCCUCUCUGUUCACCUGAUGAAUGCAGUGAAGAAUGAUGCCGUUUCAAAAGAUGUGAAUUUUGACCUUGCUGGAUAUCUAGGGAAACCUGGCUAGUAUAUAUAUAGUUUCCAUCUCAGCUGUCAGACUUUUUGGUUCUCCAUUGUUGCUCGCUUCUGCCUUUGCAGCCUGGCAUACUUAAUAAUAGGCCCUUUAUUUUAGCCACAUGAGUGUCAGUGUUAAGUGCUUCUACUGAAGCAUAGUAGCUAAAGGAAAACACUUUGUCCAUAUUAA
ensembl:lncRNA